rnacentral:rRNA from 1 species
GACGAACGCUGGCGGCGUGCUUAACACAUGCAAGUCGAACGAAGUGGCGAACGGGUGAGUAACGCGUAAUCAACCUGCCCGUCAGAGGGGGACAACAGUUGGAAACGACUGCUAAUACCGCAUACUGAAGAGCGGGGUUGCGUCUGAUUAGCUCGUGGGAGGGGGAACGGGCCCCCAAGGCGAUGAGCAGUAGCCGGGCUGGGAGGAUGAACGGCCACAUUGGGACUGGGACACGGCCCAGACUCCUACGGGAGGCAGCAGGGGGGAAUUUUCCGCAAUGGACGAAAGUCUGACGGAGCAACGCCGCGUUAGUGAUGACGGCCUUCGGGUUGUAAAGCUCUGUUAAUCGGGACGCGGUACCGGAAUAGAAAGCCACGGCUAACUACGUGCCAGCAGCCGCGGUAAUAC